GAUGAAGAACGCAGCGAAAUGCGAUAAGUAAUGUGAAUUGCAGAAUUCAGUGAAUCAUUGAAUCUUUGAACGCACAUUGCGCCCGCCAGUAUUCUGGCGGGCAUGCCUGUUCGAGCGUCAUUUCAACCAUCAAGCCCCCGGCUUGUGUUGGGGACCUGCGGCUGCCGCAGGCCCUGAAAAGCAGUGGCGGGCUCGCUGUCACACCGAGCGUAGUAGCAUACAUCUCGCUCUGGGCGUGCUGCGGGUUCCGGCCGUUAAACCACCUUCAUAACCCAAGGUUGACCUCGGAUCAGGUAGGAAGACCCGCUGAACUUAAGCAUAUCAAUAAGGGAGGA
rnacentral:misc_RNA from 1 species